rnacentral:rRNA from 1 species
AUUGAACGCUAGCGGCAGGCUUAACACAUGCAAGUCGAACGCGUGGCGGACGGGUGAGUAAUGCUUGGGAAUCUCCCUUCUGGAGGUGGAUAACUACGGGAAACUGUAGCUAAUACCGCCUACCAUGAGAUGAGCCCAGGUGGGAUUAGGUAGUUGGUGAGGUAACGGCUCACCAAGCCGACGAUCCCUAGCUGGUCUGAGAGGAUGACCAGCCACACGGGAACUGAGCCACGGCACGGACUCCGACGGGAGGCGGCAGUGGGGAAUAGUGCACAAGGGGCGCGACCCUGACGCAGCCAUGCCGCGUGGAUGAAGAGGGCCAGCGGGUUGUAAAGUUCUUUCGGUAGCGAGGCGUUACCUACAGAAUAAGCACCGGCUAACUCCGUGCCAGCAGCCGCGGUAAUAC